UACGAAGGGGGCUAGCGUUGCUCGGAAUGACUGGGCGUAAAGAGCGUGUAGGCGGCCAGGUAGGUCAGCUGUGAAAACUCGAGGCUCAACCUCGAGACGUCGGUUGAAACCACCUGGCUAGAGUCCGGAAGAGGAGAGUGGAAUUCCUGGUGUAGCGGUGAAAUGCGCAGAUAUCAGGAAGAACACCCGUGGCGAAGGCGGCUCUCUGGGACGGUACUGACGCUGAGACGCGAAAGCGUGGGGAGCGAACAGG
rnacentral:rRNA from 1 species